CUAUCUGUCUGUCUGUCUGUCUGUCUGUCUGUCUGACUGUCUGUCUGUCUGUCUAUCUGUAGACAGACAGACAGACAGUCAGACAGACAGACAGACAGACAGAUA
rnacentral:pre_miRNA from 1 species